rnacentral:rRNA from 1 species
CAUUGUCGAGACCCAAAAAAGAUCGAGCAAAUUUGACAACCUGUGGAUUAUGAGUGGUGUUGGUGAUUAUCAUCGCCCUUGAUCACCCAGGCUGUUGUCCCCUCCCAUCACUGGGAGUUGUGGCAAGAGGUUGGAUGGGAAACAUUCUCAGCGCAGCACUGCGCCAAGGAAUUGCUCAAAGUGGGCAAACACGCCACAUGUUGAAUCCCGGUGGGUUUGGCAGCUUGUGGUGUGGCUGCUUAUUAUGGAUAGUAGGACUCUCGGCAAUGGAUAUCUUGGCUCUUGCAUCGAUGAAGAGCGCAGCGAAAUGUGAUACGUGGUGUGAAUUGCAGGAUCCCGUGAACCAUCGAGUUUUCGAACGCAAGUUGCGCCUGAGGUCGAUUGGCUGAGGGCACGUCCGCCUGGGCGUCAUGCAUUGUCUCGCUUCUUCCAUCACGCCCGCUUUAAUGAGGCGAUGCUGAUGGCUUGGAUGCGGAGAGUGACCCGUUGUGCGUAACCUCGCGCGUCGGGUUGAAGAGUGGUUUGCUUUCCUCCUCGACAUGGUUGAUACGGGGUGGAUGCAUAGCCAUUCUGUCGGCGCACAUUAUCACCGUCGUGCCAUUUCAUGGGAGGGGGUCAUCUAUCAUCCGAGCGGAGCUUACCUUGUGUAGAAGGCACCGCCUUGAAAUGCGACCCCAGGAUGGGCGGGAU